rnacentral:miRNA from 1 species
GGGUCUGUCUGUUUUUGGACUACAACUCCCAUCAUCCCUGACCACUGGGUAACUAGGGAUGAUGGGAGUUGUAGUCCAAAAACAGCUGGGGACCC